ACACGUGGGUAACCUGCCCUUCCCUGGGGGAUAACAUUUGGAAACAGAUGCUAAUACCGCGAUAGAUCCAAGAACCGCAUGGUUCUUGGCUGAAAGAUGGCGUAAGCUAUCGCUUUUGGAUGGACCCGCGGCGUAUUAGCUAGUUGGUGAGGUAAUGGCUCACCAAGGCGAUGAUACGUAGCCGAACUGAGAGGUUGAUCGGCCACAUUGGGACUGAGACACGGCCCAAACUCCUACGGGAGGCAGCAGUAGGGAAUCUUCCACAAUGGACGCAAGUCUGAUGGAGCAACGCCGCGUGAGUGAAGAAGGCUUUCGGGUCGUAAAACUCUGUUGUUGGAGAAGAAUGGUCGGCAGAGUAACUGUUGUCGGCGUGACGGUAUCCAACCAGAAAGCCACGGCUAACUACGUGCCAGCAGCCGCGGUAAUACGUAGGUGGCAAGCGUUAUCCGGAUUUAUUGGGCGUAAAGCGAGCGCAGGCGGUUUUUUAAGUCUGAUGUGAAAGCCCUCGGCUUAACCGAGGAAGCGCAUCGGAAACUGGGAAACUUGAGUGCAGAAGAGGACAGUGGAACUCCAUGUGUAGCGGUGAAAUGCGUAGAUAUAUGGAAGAACACCAGUGGCGAAGGCGGCUGUCUGGUCUGUAACUGACGCUGAGGCUCGAAAGCAUGGGUAGCGAACAGGAUUAGAUACCCUG
rnacentral:rRNA from 1 species